CCUACGGGGAGCAGCAGUCGAGAAUCAUUCACAAUGGGGGAAACCCUGAUGGUGCGACGCCGCGUGGGGGAAUGAAGGUCUUCGGAUUGUAAACCCCUGUCAUGUGGGAGCAAAUUAAAAAGAUAGUACCACAAGAGGAAGAGACGGCUAACUCUGUGCCAGCAGCCGCGGUAAUACAGAGGUCUCAAGCGUUGUUCGGAAUCACGGGGCGUAAAGCGUGCGUAGGCUGUUUCGUAAGUCGUGUGUGAAAGGCGCGGGCUCAACCCGCGGACGGCACAUGAUACUGCGAGACUAGAGUAAUGGAGGGGGAACCGGAAUUCUCGGUGUAGCAGUGAAAUGCGGAGAUAUCGAGAGGAACACUCGUGGCGAAGGCGGGUUCCUGGACAUUAACUGACGCUGAGGCACGAAGGCCAGGGGAGCGAAAGGGAUUAGAUACCCUAGUAGUC
rnacentral:rRNA from 1 species